GUCCUCCAAGAAGCACGCUGCUGCCUGUACGGCCCUCACCCUCACCAUAAUGCAGUCGUUUUAUGACUGCGCUGGAUGCACUCGCACACUUGCGGCAUAGGGUGCAUAAGAGUAGCCUGGAUUUAGACAGCGGUCCUUUGGUUUGAAGCUUUAAACUAAAUUAUCGAGUUUGGAUCACAAUCGUAAGUGGAGAAUAACUCAUACAGGAAAUCUUAGAGUGUGACUUCCGAUUUCAUCCAGACACAGUUAUCGAAGGUGAUAGUGAAACUUAUGACAGAAGAGAUUGUGAAAAUGUGAAAUGUUGGCUGACGAGGCUCUUCAAAGAUUGAUUUGUGGCGAUAAGUUAAGGCUGGUUUGGUGGCUGAUUCACGUCUCAUCUAGUGUUUCAGCAUUCAUAUUUGCAGUUUCAUCAUUUCAUUUCGUUUUGUUUCUGUUGCUACAAACCUUUUAAAAUAGAUACCUAUUAGGAUGUUCCGCAAAAUUGUUUUUCAGAUUUUAUCAAACUGUUUUUUUUUUUAUUUUUGUUUGCUGCUCUUGCGAAGGAUAUAGAAAUUUAAAUCUAUACGUGACGACGAAGGGUCGGCGCAUUCUACAUAAAUUUGGUUACCUGAUUUAUUUUCACCGUGACAAAAUAUUCCACGGCGUUUGUGCACUUAGUUACAAGUCCCACUACUUUUUUCAAUUCUACGAGACACUCAAGUAUAAACAGGUUUUUUUUGUCGGCAAUGCCAGAAUAAAAUAAUGUUGGAGUUGUGGAACGAUAACUGGGAUGACAGGGAAGUACAAUUCUUCCACCAAAUUAUUUAUCAUACGAUGAACCUGGAAUUUAAAGUCAAUCGAUGUGUAUUGACAAUCUUAUCAAAUCAACCUAUUGACAACAGAAAUCUUUAUCUUGCAUAAGUUUUAUGACAGAAUAAGUUUACCAAACAUUAUAAUUUAUAUAUUCUAAUAAAUCAAAAAACUUACCAAUCAAAGCGAAAAACAGCACAUAAAUCUGACGGUCCGUAGUUCCCAAGGGUACACUGGAUGCGCCUUUCGGGGGAAGAUAAAACUGAAAUCACUAAUCAGUAUGUGAUGAAACCCCACAAAUAUCACUAGAGACAAAGACCCAGAGACAGUCGACGUUUACGUAUGGUAGGUAUGUCCUACACAGCCUACUCACUUUUGGCUCAACACACCAUAAUAUAAUCAACAAAAGUGAUUUCAUUCAACUUAAGCUACACACGCACACAUACUUGACUCCGAAAACGUCUUCACUCGCUUGCGGGGACAAACUCUCUUAUUCAGUAGUUCGAAUCGCUUAAAGCCUAGAACUGCUGCAGUCUAGACGAUUAUUUUGUUCCGUAUCACCGAAUUCAAGACUCUAGAGGCUCAUCAAUGAAAUUCAUCAUUGACUCGUAGGGUGAACAAGGUGGAGGUAAUGAAUGAUGAUCAACGAAAGAUAGUUGCAGUAGGUAACUUUUAGAAAUCUUUCCUUUGUAAAUGUAAGAGAUGCUAGCGAGACGUACUGCAACUCCUGUAAGAGGUGUACGACUAUCCGUACGUUUCUUCUUCCAUGAGUUGCCUCGGCCAAGUUACAUCGAACAGGUUUAACACGCAAUCCCUCUACUCUGGCAGGAUUGCUUUUCUGUAUUUCUGUACAGCGCAAAACGGCUUGCAUAAACCGUGAAGCUAACUUGUUUCAGCAAAUUGCAAAUCUGACUAGAGUUUGCCCGCAAGCACAGUUCAAUCCGUAUUUAAUUACCAUCAACACCUUCCAAAUUUGUUGUCUACACUACAAAACUGAACAGAAAUUAUAGUUAAAAUUACACACCAGCUGCACAAUACACCACCAAAAACUAGUGACGGGAGAGGGCACCGGGACAAAGCUCGGGGAAGGCCUGCAAUGAAUAAGGCCGCACGAACACGGAAACACACACAAAAACUAACUUCACAAAUCGACAACUGGUUCGAACCGAGAUCACGGAUUGAGUGAAUGAAGGAAGACUGCCUCGCUGGAAGUCAACCAGCCGUCGCUGCUAUUUCAGGCACAUCGAUGUUAUGACUUUCGAGCAGUUUAUUGACAUUCAACUCGAAAGUGUUAUACUUACACUACACACAAAAAUCAAAACACCCAAAAAUGCGUGAUUUUCACGUAAAUCAGCCCAUCUGUGCGGGAAGGAACUUUAAGGCGCCAAACACCAUUUUCCAGUUCGCCGCCAAGGUUUGGCCGCAAGAUUCUACGCUCAGAAACACCAAGAGCUCGCCGAUCAGCCUUUUUCAGUGUCUAUGUUCAACAGUCAUAGAGGGCCACCGGGAGAAUCAGUGUUUUCUAGAGUGCUAGUUUUGUACGGGUUCGUAGGCUGCAGGACCUCAGUUGGUUACGCAAUCCGCAGAAGGCCCUGUUCGCAGCUGCUAUCCACCUUUUUAGCUCACGGCUAACCUCAUUGUCGCACGUCACCAAUGUAUCCAGCCCCCUGUCUCGCCGUGGGACUAUCGUAUCUACAAACAUCAGAACGUUGAUCAGCCGCUCCCAACAUGAAGAUCAGACGCUGUUUUGUGCCGCACCACCUUUCUGAACAGACGCUCGGGUUGGCGAAGCAUUUCCUCUACCGCUAAAAUAUGGGUUACGCGUGGUGAUCACGGUGCUAUUGUCGGAUGACAACAUUGCCCAGACAUCACCAACCAGUUGUGUCUAUGUUCCAGCGCGUAGUCUCUCAAAAUCAUAUGACUCGUGAUGGUGUGAGGCAGGAACUUGUGGGGGCCGGAGCUAAGUUUGACGCUACAUCCAGGUUGUCAACUAAAAUCGAAUGUAUUUUUACUUCCAUAAUCGUCAGGUUGUUAAAACUUGUUAUGUCUAAAUUGACUGAACUGAUUAUCACUGGUAGCAGAUUAGGGUGGAAAAGUACACAUUCGUUUGUCUGUGAAAAGAUGCAAAAUAAAUUAUCAACUGAUCCUGAUCGGCUGCCAGUAAGCCAUUCUAUUUUAGGAAUAAAUCUCGAUAGAUUCAUUUCCAACUGCUGUGAAAAAACAAGACCAUCUGAAUAAAUCGAAUAAAAAAACCGCGAAAAAUUGUUGGCCAUAAAGGAUACAAAUAAAGAAAUAAAAAGUAGUUCGGUACA